CGUAAUACUGUGUAAACAAGCCUUCCACUGGUAUAUUUAGUGAGAACUGUACAUCUAUGUUAAAUGAUCAAUUUUGUAGAAAGUUAAAGGAGGUGAGGGUGGAGUUAUCUAUAAAAGGCGAUGUCCUACUGGCUGGGUCGGCACACGGAGCCGUGUAUGCAGCAGAACUAAGUAUAUUCGCCAAUCCUUCAAAAAGGGAUUGUAAUUUGGAAUCCAGACUAAUGCCAAGAAAUAUAGCAGAUUCAUUAAAUUUUUGACAUUUGGAAUGAAAAUGAAAUGGAGACGGGUUUGAGUAGCUGAAAAGCCGUAUCUAGCAAAUCCCGUCGAGCGACGAGUCGAAUGCGGGUUUCCAGAAGUAUUCGCUCAGAAAAGGAGUAACGACGUCGUCGCCCUUUGAGGGGGCGAGAUGAUAACGGAAUGCCGCUUCCAGGUCACCUUCAAAAAAUGCGUGGACCCUACCUAAAAGUCUAGUAAGGCUCU